rnacentral:lncRNA from 1 species
UUUGAAUUAUGCUAGAUCUAUUUUAUUUUGUUAAGGAGAAAGGGAUGCCUUGAUUGUCGUAUUGAUUUUCUUCUUCUUUUUGUUCCAAAAGAUUGAAACUGAAGAGCUGGAAGGAGGACAUUACAACAUCUCUUAUAUUUGCAAGAUGAAGCAGAAAGUCCCAUGCAUGUACAGUUAUCAGGAUGAUGCCUCUCUACAGUGGAUGAUGAAGGCAUUCUGGUUUGCAAACUCAGGAGAGGAACAAAGAACAGAUGUUGACGGGAUCAUAUCUAGAGAUGCGGGCCUACUACACUUCAUACGAGCAAGUGUGCUAAUAUACAUGAAGACUUGGGUUAUAUUUUUUUCUGAAAACUAGGCUACAACUUUAGUGAUGGAUGCAGAAGAUAUCUACACGAGACUACGUCUUAAAGAUGCCACCCUCAUAUAAUGAAAGAGGACAAUAGAGAUGGGUUUAAACUGGAAUAUUUACAUGAUAUUUAUUUGUUAUUUGUAUUAUA